GGACGAACUGUGUAGGCUCCUUGACAGAGGUAAUCCUCCCUUAAUUCCUGAACUGAAGACCUGCUCUGAGAUGAGAGCUUUCUUGGCAAAGCUCAGUUCUAUGGGGUUUUUAAAAAGGUUUGAAUCCACCAACAACACAGGAUGAAGUGACAUGCUCCAUAACCAUGAUCAAAGCUGUGCCCAAGACAUUCCCAUCACCUGUGGCCCCAACUAAAAGGACAAGGAAGUAAUGUGAUGGUGCACAUUCUUGAGCCCACAGCAAACCUAAACUCUUUCCUCCAAAGAAGAUCCAUCACCACUCCUGCCUAACUUGUUUGCGAAUGUAACUGCACGCUGGCCACUUGGUGUACACCUCUCUAAAAGAGAACAUCCACACAGGUGUGCUCUACCUUAUAUCAUACUAUUGGUUAUGUUCAUCUAACAUACCCAAAGUGCAUUGCAACAUUCUUGUCAGUGCUUUAGAGAGAAGUUUUAAGGGAGGCAGUUCACGAUGGGUAUGAAACUACCUACUACAAGAAAAAAACAAACCAAAAAACAAAACGAUUUCAGAAUGGAAAACGUUCACAGGGGAGUAGUGAAAAGGUUCAGGAUGUGUUCCUAUGACCUCCAUAUUCCUCUGCAGUAGCUUUCAGUUUAGGACGUUGUUUUGAUGCUUCUUUUAUUUUUUCUGUUGUUGAGUGAAACUUUGUUCCAUUGGUGUGGGAAUAUUAAAUGUGUGACUUGA